rnacentral:rRNA from 1 species
AGCAGCCGCGGUAAUUCCAGCUCCAAUAGCGUAUAUUAAAGUUGUUGCAGUUAAAAAGCUCGUAGUUGAAUUUCGGGGUCAGCAGGUUGGUCGUGCCAAUGGUAUGCACUGGCCUUGCUGAUUCCUCCCUCUUGAUGAGCCGUAAUGCCAUUAAUUUGGUGUUGCGGGGAAUCAGGACUGUUACUUUGAAAAAAUUAGAGUGUUUAAAGCAGGCAAGCGCUUGAAUACAUUAGCAUGGAAUAAUGAAAUAGGACGUUUGAUCCUAUUUUGUUGGUUUCUAGGAUUGACGUAAUGAUUAAUAGGGAUAGUUGGGGGCAUUAGUAUUCAAUUGUCAGAGGUGAAAUUCUUGGAUUUAUUGAAGACUAACUACUGCGAAAGCAUUUGCCAAGGAUGUUUUCAUUAAUCAAGAACGAAAGUUAGGGGAUCGAAGACGAUCAGAUACCGUCGUAGUCUUAACCAUAAACUAUGCCGACUAGGGAUCGGAUGAUGUUAAUUUUUUAAUGACUCAUUCGGCGCCUUACG